rnacentral:pre_miRNA from 1 species
GUGGGUGGAAUAGUAUAACAAUAUACAUGUUGUUAUAGUAUUCCACCUUCCC